rnacentral:rRNA from 1 species
UACGUAGGGUGCAAGCGUUGUCCGGAAUUAUUGGGCGUAAAGAGCUCGUAGGCGGUUUGUCGCGUCUGCUGUGAAAACGCGAGGCUCAACCUCGCGCCUGCAGUGGGUACGGGCAGACUAGAGUGCGGUAGGGGAGAUUGGAAUUCCUGGUGUAGCGGUGGAAUGCGCAGAUAUCAGGAGGAACACCGAUGGCGAAGGCGAGUCUCUGGACAUUUCCUGACGCUGAGGCACGAAAGCCAGGGGAGCAAACGGG